GAAUGUGUGGAUGUGGCGGGAGACUUGAGCGGCAUUACAGGCGCCGGCAUUUUCCAAAUUUGACUGCCAAGGCUACCGCAAACAAUAUUGUUGUUGACUCACUAGCUGUCCGGGUAAUGUUGUAAGUGGCAGUUGUGGUCUCUCAGAAGUUCCGCGAAUUGUUGCUAAGGCUAUUCUUCACUUCAUUGGUGCAGAAUCCAUUUUCACCCAUGCAGUCCACAGAAUCCUCCAAUGAAUCGUAGGAAAUCAAAGAAGUCCAAGUGGUCCAAAGAAGAGGACGAGCAGCUGAAACAUGCCGUGGACGCGCACGGCGAGAAGUGGGACGUGAUCCGCCAGCUCUUCUCCGGCAA